rnacentral:lncRNA from 1 species
CUGCUACCAUGUGUGACACUACUGCAUGAGAGUGGCCACAUAGAAAGAAAACACACACACACACUCACAUACAUACACACACGUAUACUCUCUGUCUCUGUCUCUCUGUUUCUCUCCCCCCUCUGUCUGUCUCUCCCUCUCUUUCUUUCUUUCUUUCUUUCUUUCUUUCUUUCUUUCUUUCUUUCUUUCUUUCUUUCUUUCUUUCUUUCUUUCUUUCUUUCUUUCUUUCUUUCUUUCUUUCUUUCUUUCUUUCUUUCUUUCUUUCUUUCUUUCUUUCUUUCUUUCUUUCUCUCUCUUUCUUUCUUUCUGUCCCUUCCCCUCUGUCUUUCUUCCUCUAGCUUUCUCUCUCUUUCCACCUUCUCCCCCUUCUCUUUUUCUCUCUGUCCCUUCUUCCCUCUUUCUCUCCUUCUCUCCCUCCCUUUUUCUUCCUUCCUUCCUUCCUUCCUUCCUUCCUUCCUUCCUUCCUCCCUUCCUCCCUUUCUCUCUUUCUCUCUUUCUCUCUUUCUUUCUUUCUCUCUCUCUUUCUUUUCCUUCCUUCCUUCCUUCCUUCCUUCCUUCCUUCCUUCCUUCCUUCCAUUGUUAAAGAUUCAAAUGAAGGAGUAUGAAGUAGUGAAAAGAUCUCUGUACCCAAAAGAGCAGAAUUGAAUCCAGAAGACCUAGGCCUGAGUUCCAGCUCUACAAUGGACUUCAGUUUGUUCAGCUAUAAAACAAAGGCAAUGGACUAGGUAUUCUCUAAGUCCCUUUAAGCUCUGAUGAUCUGUGACUGNNNNNNNNNNNNNNNNNNNNNNNNNNNNNNNNNNNCUGAUCAUGGGUCAGGUGCACCACACAUAUACACUCAUAUAAAAUCUCUAGAUCAGCAUUUUAAAAGAUUUUUUUUAAAGCAUUAUGGACCUCUUUGGUAAUCUGGU